GGUUGGGGUGAGGGCUGGCCUGUCUGAGGAGGGGCAUUUGCAGUGCUGGAGCAAGCCAUGGAGGACAGGAAUUGCUCCAGUCAGAGGAACAGCAAGGACAAGGGGCCCAAGACGGCAUGUACUAGAGGCUCCACGCAUAGAAAAAGCCAGCCAUCCCCAGCGCUGUAACUGAGUGGCCAGUGGUGGGAGGAGUCGUGUUCAUCUCUGUGGACUUGAGGGUCUGGCCCUGAGUAGCGGCUUGCACGUGUUGUUAGCAAUAAUGACAGCUGGGCUUAUGAUGCAGGUACUGUGUCACGCAAGGUGCUGAGUGCUUUACCUGUGGUGUCUUAUUUGACCUUCACAAGCACCCUGAGAGGAAGUUAAGGAUAUUAUCCUUUUCAGCACUGGGUACGUUAUUUGUUGGGGACAAUGCAAGAUAAAAAUGUGGAGCCCCUUGUUAAAGAUUGUUAAGAAUUAUUAACAAAUUAUUUAAAAUUUAUUAAGAAUUUCAACAGCAGAGCAUUCAAGCAAGCAUGGGUCCAUCUAAGUAUGACUGUGCAGGUUGAAUGCCUAUGAAGUAAACUCUGUCCCCAUUUUAAGAUGAAGAAACUGAGGCUCAAGGAGGUUAAGUAAUGUCCCUGGGGGUCAUGCAACUAGGAAACAGCAAAGUUGAGAUCUGUGUUCUUUAUUACAGUCUUUGUAAUAGUUAAUUUUAUGCAUCAACUUGACUGGAUCACAGUGUGCCCAGAUAUUUGAUCAAACAUUAUUCUGAGUGUUUCCGUGACAAUGUUUUUGGAUACAAUCAACAUUUAUUUAAUUGGUUGAAGACCUGAAUAGAACAAAGAGUUCAAUUCUCUCAAGUAAGAGAAUUCCUCCUGUCUGACUACUUCAGAAUUGGGACAUUGGCUUUUUCCUGCCUCUACACUACAACUACACCAUCAAGCCUUCAGACAUGGAAAGGAACCACACUAUUGGCUCUCCUCGGUCUUCAGCUUGCCAACUCAAUGCAGAUCUUUGCAUUUGUCAGCCUUAUAACCAUGUGAGCUAAUUCCCUAAAAUAAAUGUCCUCAUUUAAAUGUA
rnacentral:lncRNA from 1 species